rnacentral:rRNA from 1 species
AAGAGACAGCAGCAGCCACGGUAAUACGGAGGGGGCUAGCGUUGUUCGGAAUUACUGGGCGUAAAGCGCACGUAGGCGGCUUGGUAAGUUAGAGGUGAAAGCCCGGAGCUCAACUCCGGAAUUGCCUUUAAGACUGCCGAGCUAGUAGGUGAGAGAGGUAAGUGGAAUUCCGAGUGUAGAGGUGAAAUUCGUAGAUAUUCGGAAGAACACCAGUGGCGAAGGCGGCUUACUGGCUCAUUCUAGACGCUGAGGUGCGAAAGCGUGGGGAGCAAACAGGAUUAGAUACCCCGGUAGUCCCUGUCUCUUAUAC